rnacentral:rRNA from 1 species
UACGUAGGGGGCGAGCGUUAAUCGGAAUUACUGGGCGUAAAGCGUGCGCAGGCGGUUCGUUGUGUCGGCGGUGAAAGCCCCGGGCUUAACCUGGGAAUGGCCGUUGAAACUGGCGAACUGGAGUGUGGCAGAGGGGGGUGGAAUUCCGCGUGUAGCAGUGAAAUGCGUAGAGAUGCGGAGGAACACCGAUGGCGAAGGCAGCCCCCUGGGCUGACACUGACGCUCAGGCACGAAAGCGUGGGGAGCAAACAGG